GGCGCUGUGGUGCAGUGGGUUAACACCCUGGCCUGGGGUGCCAGCAUCCCAUAUGGCCGCAGGUUCGAGUCCUGGCUGCUCCA
rnacentral:tRNA from 1 species